AUUGAACGCUGGCGGCAGGCCUAACACAUGCAAGUCGAACGGUAACAGGAAGCAGCUUGCUGCUUUGCUGACGAGUGGCGGACGGGUGAGUAAUGUCUGGGAAACUGCCCGAUGGAGGGGGAUAACUACUGGAAACGGUAGCUAAUACCGCAUAACGUCGCAAGACCAAAGAGGGGGACCUUAGGGCCUCUUGGCAUCGGGUGUGCCCAGAUGGGAUUAGCUAGUAGGUGGGGUAACGGCUCACCUAGGCGACGAACCCUAGCUGGUCUGAGAGGAUGACCAGCCACCCUGGAACUGAGACACGGCCCAGACUCCUACGGGAGGCAGCAGUGGGGAAUAUUGCACAAUGGGCGCAAGCCUGAUGCAGCCAUGCCGCGUGUAUGAAGAAGGCCUUCGGGUUGUAAAGUACUUUCAGCGGGGAGGAAGGGAGUAAAGUUAAUACCUUUGCUCAUUGACGUUACCCGCAGAAGAAGCACCGGCUAACUCCGUG
rnacentral:rRNA from 1 species